rnacentral:rRNA from 1 species
CCCUUAGACGUUCUGGGCCGCACGCGCGCUACACUGACCAGUGCAACAAGCAUCCGUCCUUGGCCGACAGGCUCGGGCAAUCUUUGAACGCUGGUCGUGAUGGGGAUAGACUUUUGCAAUUUUUGGUCUUCAACGAGGAAUUCCUAGUAAACGCAAGUCAUCAACUUGCAUUGAUUACGUCCCUGCCCUUUGUACACACCGCCCGUCGCACCUACCGAUUGAACGGUCCGGUGAAGCCUCCGGAUUGGCGCGCACCUCGGUGCCGCCGAGAAGUUGGCUAAACCUUACCAUUUAGAGGAAGGUGAAGUCGUAACA